UACGUAGGGGACAAGCGUUGUCCGGAUUUACUGGGCGUAAAGAGCGCGCAGGCGGUCGUUCAAGUCGAGUGUGAAAGCCCCCGGCUCAACUGGGGAGGGUCACUCGAUACUGAUCGACUUGAAGGCAGGAGAGGGAAGCGGAAUUCCCGGUGUAGUGGUGAAAUGCGCAGAUAUCAGGAGGAACACCGGUGGCGAAGGCGGUUCUCUGGGCAUUACCUGACGCUGAGGAGCGAAAGCGUGGGGAGCGAACAGG
rnacentral:rRNA from 1 species